UAGUGUAGUAAAGCUAAAGUUAGAUAUGGUUGGUGAUAAGCAUUACUUCCAUCACUUCUUUAUUUGUCUACGUGCUUGCAGUACGGGCUUUUUAGCUGGUUGUAGGCCUUUUAUAGGCCUAGAUGGUCGCCACUUAAAGGGGAAGUACAGGGGUGUGAUGAUGGCUGCUACAUCACUUGAUGGAAAUAAUGGUUUGUUUUCAGUUGCUUUUGGUGUUGCAGAAUCUGAAAAUAGUGAUAGUUGGACUUGGUUUUUAGAGGCACUUAAAGAAUCAAUUCAAACUCCAGAAGGUCUAGUACUUGUAUCAGAUCGACAAAAGGGAUUGGAAGAAGCAGUACAACAUAUAUACCCCCAAGCAGAACAUAGAAAAUUCAUGAGACACUUGUACAAAAACUUUCAAACAAAAUUUUCAGGAUACUGGCUUAAAAUUAAGUUAUGGGGAGCUGCAAGGGCAUACACAAAAGUCCAACAUGACGAUAUCAUCAAUCAAAUUAAGGAGGCUAGCUUGGAGGCAUUCAAGUAUCUUAGUGCUGAAAAUAUUGGUUUAUGGAGUAGAUCUCAAUUUGGCAUCACAGCUAAGUGCUCCUAUAUAACAAACAACCUUUCGGAGUUAUUCAAUGCUUGGAUUUCUGAGGCCAGACAUAGGCCAGUUCUUGAUUUAUUAGAUGUUGUAAGACGAUUUAUUAGAUGUCGUAAUAAAAAAAUUAUGGUGAAAAUGGAAGGAAGAAGGAGAAUGGUUGCCCGCUGGAAAGAAAAUUUAGUUCCUGUGGUAAUGAAGUAUGUAAGAGACAUCAGCCUUUAGCUAGGUGAUUAUAAUGUUUAUAGAACCAAUGAUUACAGAGCAGAAGUAAUUGAGACUAAUGGAAGGCAUGAAGUAAUUCUAAAUGAACAAAGGUGUUCUUGUCGUUUGUGGAAGGUGUCAGGCAUUCCUUGUGUGCAUACUGCAGCUUUUAUUUGUAGUAUGAGAUGUGCAAAUUUAGAAAAUUAUGUCUCGGAGUCCUUCACCAUUGCCAAGUAUAAGAUUGCCUAUGCAUUAGAAAUUGGACCAUUACUUGACAAGGCCCAAUGGAUAAA
rnacentral:lncRNA from 1 species